UAUUUGAGUCCAGAACUGAGGGAAUGGGCUGUAGCAAGUGUGCCCCGUUUGGUUUACAUGGGUUCUUGUAAGUAUGGUGCCAGUGGGCACAGAGGAGCUGUUUGCAUCCAUGAGAUCCUUAAGAGGCUUCAAGAGGUGCAGUUUGUGAAAGAAGGAUAGAUGUGAGGCCCCAUCUGGUGGAAAAAGAGUUUUGUCUGAAGAUGGGGGUCCAGUUGGGCAAAGAACAAGUGAAGUAGACGUAUGCCUGUAGGGGACAUGAAGUACUUAUUCCCAAAAUGGAAGUGGAUUUGAUGUCACGUUUGCAAGUUAAGAAUCCACUUUCUGACCACAGAGAUGGAAAUAUCAGCAUCUCCGGAGAAGACUUCGGUGUGCGUUGUUUGGAGCAAUCGGGCUUUGAUAUUGUAUUAUUUGGGUCAAGAUGUGAAGUGUUGUCUGUUUGAUGGCUAGAAUGUAGUAGAGCAGUGGGGCUGAUGUCACUGUGUUCUGGUAGAUACCUGAGCAAUUAUAUCAUGAAAUGCCAUUAUUGUCAUUUCUGUGAUUCAAAUUGGAGA